rnacentral:rRNA from 1 species
GCAAGUCGAGGGGUAACAGGAGUGCUUGCACUCGCUGACGACCGGCGCACGGGUGCGUAACGCGUAUGCAACCUACCUUAUACAGGGAGAUAGCCCGAAGAAAUUCGGAUUAAUAUCCCAUAGUAUUGUUUAUUCGCAUGUUUAGACAAUUAAAGAUUUAUCGGUAUAAGAUGGGCAUGCGUUAGAUUAGCUAGUUGGAGAGGUAACGGCUCACCAAGGCUACGAUCUAUAGGGGGCCUGAGAGGGUGAUC